rnacentral:lncRNA from 1 species
CGGAAGGUAAUUUUGAAAAUUCGCCAAAACAUUCAAGGGUGGGCUGAAUGAGAGUAUUUAAAAUAUAAGAUUUUACAGCAUCCACGGACUCAUCGGUUGGGUUAUGUUCGAGUAAAGAAUUAGAAUGAAAGGCUCGAACAAGAUUGGCAUAGGUAGAAGAGCGAAUUUUAAAGAAAUUGAUCCAUUGCCAAUCGUUUAAAUUUUAAAGAUAGGCAAAAUUAAUCUAAAUCUAGAGGUCGAGAAACAUUAACUUUCCAAGAGACAAAAUAAGCGAAAAAAUGAGUUCUCUCCUCAGAGUUGCGAAAACAAUCAUUUAAAGAAUCAUUUUGACCGCUAGGUGGAUUGAAUGAAGAGGCAUCGACAUGAGAACAUUUCUUAAGAGGCAUAGUGACUAACUAGAAUCUGAAGACACACUAAACUACUUAGAAAUUUCAUUUAGGAAUUUUGUCGAACACUUGGUGGGAAAAGGUUUAUGGAAAGAAAAUUUUGGGUUGGGCAAAACCCUUGUAUCAAAACAACAAUUUAUAUGUUUCAAGUCAUCCUAAUAGAAAAAUUUAAACAAAAAAUUAACACAUACUAAUCAUAAUUUUUGAAAUCAAAGUAGCGGAGUUUUUACCUUG